rnacentral:rRNA from 1 species
CGUCGCCGUCGCCUCGUCUCGUGGCGUGGCACGGUGAUUUCAGAACUCUCUUGCCGGUUCCUGCUGCCUUUUCGGGGCGGGUUAGGCAGGGGUCCGUGCGGGUGCGGAGUGCGGAGUGCGGGCGCAGUAUUUUAGCACCCGCUGAGCACAGGGUCAGGGUCGUCCGAGUCGGUGUCGGGUGUCGCUGCGCCGUCGCCGUCGUCCUUGUCGUUGUCGCUGGAACGAAGGCGCGCGCCGUCGGCUCCCUCCCCUCCUCCUCUAGCUCCCCCCGUUCGCCCCGUCCCGCCGUACCCCUGCCCCCCGAUCUUGUUCCUCUACCGACGUCUCGCUGCGGGAGCCCCCGUAAUUACCCCGGGAGGGAGACGAGGUGUAGGACGACGAGGGUGUAGGAGGGGCGCCGGCGCCAACUAAGGAGCGGGCGGAUGAAAAUUGGCGCGGGGGGGAAAAGGCCUGCCCUGCCGACCCGACACCCGCCCGCGGUACCCGUAGCUAGAGUUGCGCCGCCUGCUCGGACCGUUCCGCCGCCGCCACAGCCACACGGCCCUGGACACCGUGCGGACGCGCCCCGGCCAGCACCGCGACGGCGCGGCCCCGUCGCGGCAGCAGAUGGACGGCGUCCGCGUGGAGCGGCGCCGGCCGCCGCCCCCCCUGCACGGCCACCGGGACGGCGGCGUACACCGCACGGCGCACCACCUGCAGCUCGAUACGCGCCUAGGCCGCUGGCUGCUCCAGAUGCGCGCCGACCGAUACCACCGCCUCCCGCUCUAGAAACUCUUCUUGUACCCUCCACCAGCCAAACUUCCCCUUCUACUGUACCUUCUACCGCUACCUCUUUCCUUCAGGGCCUACGACGUGUACAAGACGUUCUGUGAUUGUCGGAGACUGUGUUCGUGUGUGCCCCCUAAGAGACAAGGGGCGGCACGACGGCUCCUGACAAAGGGGGGUGACCUGAUGGUCGUCUAGUCCGGAAGGGUUCUCGAACAACGUUUCCUAAACGUACCUCGCUUCACCUCCAAGGCGGUAUAGAUAUCUCCAGUUGGUGCAUCCGUAGAAAAUUGCUGACCUACCUCAAGUAAACAGUUAUUUUUCUUUGAACAGAGACCCCUACGUCAGAAUAAAGAGGCACCACUACUACCACUUGAUGCUGAACCACAUUCCUCUCGGUAAGUCGAAUUUUUACUCCGGGAAGACUUUCGAAAGUUAUCGUUGUCGAGUUUCUAUGUGUGUGACAGACGACACCGAUUAAGGAACUUUGUAUCUUCACAAAAAGUGUAGACAAUGUUAGGUUCCCGACGACGUAGGCUUAAAUAACAAGGCAUGACCUUCAAGGACUUCUCGGACUUAGCAGGUAAAACAUAACCUUACUCCAAAUUCUAAGUCAUACCCUCACUUCUACAAUUACUCUCCGCUAGACCUUACUAAUGUCCAUAAUUACUUCAUCUGGGGUAAUCCACCUGACCAAGUUUUACCUUUUCGGACGUCCAUUCUACCCUCCUACCGUGGCUGACAUUAUCGGUUUUAUCUGAUAGCGGUACCCUAUAGCUCUAUCAACCACCGAGCCAGAGAUAACGGGUCAGAGACAGUCGUAGGUCAAGAUUUGCUUGAUUUGACACGGGAGUCCCGUUACACCUGCAGGGUUGAGACAUACCCUUACAAGCAGGCCUGAGGCACCCUCGACUAUUUGAGGGGUCCCAGAACGUUCCAGUUCUUAACUACCCAAGACCUUGAGUAGCAAAAUGUACAGGAGGAGUCGGUCCACCGCGGUGUCUUAAGGCCGCAAGACUACCAUGCCCCAAGGAAUGACUAUGUGCUUCGACGAACGACUCACCAGGUCGUUCGUCCGAAGGUGGAGUUUCGAGGAUAAAGCGGAUGGUUGGACAUCCGAAGCCACUUAGGCAACCCAAGGGCCUCCAGAACGUUCCAGUUCUUCAAACAGUCUGCCAAGGAGACAUGGUUCCUUACCACAGACUAUGUACAAGGCGAUUUCGCCCUAUGCCCUACAUGUUAAUGUACGCGUGGAGCAGACGGUACUUGCCUCCCAAAAGUAGACGUGGAGUCCCAAUAGGAGAGAGGGACAGAUGAGGCGGGGCUCGUCACCGCCGAAGCGGGAGUAGGCGUCGCCAAGGUGGUGUCGAAACCGACCGUUCGUUCUCGUUACUUCUUCGACGCUUACCGUCGGUCGAAUUGGGUAAACCUUAAGCUUUCCAAGGACCACUACCACGACGAUUCGAACCACUACCACGACGAUUCGAACCUAGACUACCUUCCUUCCAACGGUCUUGGUCAACGUACGAAAAGCCCAAAAGGAACUGGCUCUUCUACAACGGUUGCCUUCUUCUGAGACGGUUCCUUCCCUUGGUACUUCAGCUGACAGUCUUAGGCGCCUACGAUCUGAACAAACCUAUGUUGGCGCGGUGAGGGCCGUGAGAAGUGCGGGAGACGCGGCGAGGGGACCCUUAUACUACGGUGAGGUCAAGGUCAUACUAGGUUCAUGAAACAUCACGAGAAAGAUUCUUUGAAAUUAUUACUCAGAAACGCGUAAGUCCCUGGAAGCCACUUAUACGUACACUCGUACGUCGCCGGCGAGGAACGUAGCGGGGUCCAUGUUAGUCGUAAAGGGGAGCCAGCAAGUCAGGGUCGGCAUAAGGACUACGUGUGGUCAACAGCAAGAUCAGGUAGGUUAGGAGGUAGGGAUAUACAUAAAAUCUGCUAAAAUGACACAGCGAAGACAUAGACAUAGCCUGGAACUAAACGAUAGAGGAACCUGUACCGACAUAGUGGCUGUUGUUGUUGUUGUUUCGGAAAUCAGGAUUUGUUCAACCCCAUCCGAUCUCCACUUUGGGUAUUCUAGAGCGUUGGUUGAGUACCGAGACCGUGUACCUAUCGUUCGAAGGUGCGUGGGGAUAGGUAUCGAUCGAGAAACAGCUAUGAGGUUAGGAAGUCCAGAGAGAAUUGCCUGAGGAGGGUACAGUUUUAGCCAGCUGGGGCGGGAGAGAACUGUAAGAGGCGUGCGAAAUCGGCAGGCGAUACGUGACCUCGAAGACCUCCGGACGCGACUUAUACGGGUUUGGUAGAGUUUGCUACAACCUGUUCGAAGAGGAGUUAACCACGAUGGGGUUGAGAUAGAGCAUAUAGUAGUAAGGCCUG